rfam:Myotis lucifugus cont2.665, whole genome shotgun sequence.
CUUGGGGAAGGUGGUCCCUCAGCCCAGAUUGCAAGAGGGUGCAGGCCAGGCCAAGGGAUUCCACUGGUGCAUG